AGAGUUUGAUCAUGGCUCAGAACGAACGCUGGCGGCGCGCCUAAUACAUGCAAGUCGAACGAGAAUGUGUAGCAAUACACAUGUACAGUGGCGAACGGGUGAGGACUGCAUGGGUAACCUACCCUCGAGUGGGGAAUAACUAGCCGAAAGGUUAGCUAAUACCGCGUACGCUUCCCGGACUGCGGUUCGGGAAGGAAAGCGAUACCGUGGGUAUCGCGCUCUUGGAUGGGCUCAUGCCCUAUCAGCUUGUUGGUGAGGUAACGGCUCACCAAGGCUUCGACGGGUAGCUGAUCUGAGAGGAUGAUCAGCCACACUGGCACUGCGACACGGGCCAGACUCCUACGGGAGGCAGCAGUAAGGAAUAUUGCGCAAUGGGCGAAAGCCUGACGCAGCGACGCCGCGUGGGGGAUGAAGGUCUUCGGAUUGUAAACCCCUUUCGGGAGGGAAGAUGGGAUGGGGUAACCCAUUCGGACGGUACCUCCAGAAGCAGCCACGGCUAACUUCGUGCCAGCCGCCGCGGUAAUAC
rnacentral:rRNA from 1 species